CCCCCUACCAGUAAGUAUGAACUAUGAUCAAGAAGGUGAUUUUCCCAGGGUGAGGAUCUUCCAUUGCACACUUUAGUUGGCUUGACCCCUGUGACCUUCCCAAAUGUGGGAAACUCAACUGCAUAAUUUAUAGUAGUGGGGGUCUGCAUUCUUGCAGUCUCUUG